rnacentral:rRNA from 1 species
UUGACCUCGGAUCAGGUAGGGAUACCCGCUGAACUUAAGCAUAUCAAUAAGCGGAGGAAAAGAAACCAACAGGGAUUGCCUCAGUAACGGCGAGUGAAGCGGCAACAGCUCAAAUUUGAAAGCUAGCCUUCGGGUUCGCAUUGUAAUUUGUAGAGGAUGCUUUGGGUAAAACGCCAGUCUAAGUUCCUUGGAACAGGACGUCAUAGAGGGUGAGAAUCCCGUAUGUGACUGGAAAUGU